rnacentral:rRNA from 1 species
AGAGUUUGAUCCUGGCUCAGAUUGAACGCUGGCGGCAUGCCUAACACAUGCAAGUCGAACGGCAGCACAGCAGUAGCAAUACUGUGGGUGGCGAGUGGCGGACGGGUGAGUAAUGCAUCGGGACCUACCUGAACGUGGGGGAUAACGUAGGGAAACUUACGCUAAUACCGCAUACGUCCUACGGGAGAAAGCGGGGGACCUUCGGGCCUCGCGCGGUCAGACGGACCGAUGUUCGAUUAGCUAGUUGGUAGGGUAAUGGCCUACCAAGGCGACGAUCGAUAGCUGGUCUGAGAGGAUGAUCAGCCACACUGGAACUGAGACACGGUCCAGACUCCUACGGGAGGCAGCAGUGGGGAAUAUUGGACAAUGGGCGCAAGCCUGAUCCAGCAAUGCCGCGUGUGUGAAGAAGGCCUUCGGGUUGUAAAGCACUUUUAUCAGGAG